rnacentral:lncRNA from 1 species
UAGAAUUUACCAAAAUUUUAAAUCGGUUGCAAAGAAAGCUUAAAAUAUAAUAUUAUAUCAUAUAUAUAUAUAUAUAUGUGUGUGUGUGUGUGUGUAAAAGAAAAAUUACAUAAUUGUAGAGCGAGAUAUUUUGGAAAAGAAUAGAAGUGAGAAAACAUAAUCCAUGUUAGGUUUGACCUCUUCAAAGAAAGAUUUGUAGGCAUCUUUGUCACCACCCAUCACCACCAUCAUUCUCCGCUCAUUCAUU